rnacentral:sRNA from 1 species
GGAGUCCCAGUGCUGCCGCAGCUCUGAGCAUUCCCACGUCACCAGAGAAGCCGGUGGGCAAUGAGAGCAUGUCUGCUUUCAGGUUGUGGCCUGGCCUGCUGAUCAUGUUGGGUUCUCUCUGCCAUAGAGGUUCAUCGUGUGGCCUUUCAACACACGUAGAAAUAGCUGUUACUAGAACACCAGGAUGCGUAUCAGGCUGGAACCGUGUUUCCUGAUUGUUUUUACCCUAGCAUCUGCAAAGGAGGAAAAUACCAUGAUGUGUCUGAGAGCACUCACUGGACUCCGUUUCUUAACGCAAGCGUUCAUUAUAUCCGAGAGAACUAUCCCCUUCCCUGGGAGAAGGACACAGAGAAACUGGUAGCUUUCUUGUUUGGAAUUACUUCUCACAUGGCGGCAGAUGUCAGCUGGCAUAGUCUGGGCAUUGAACAAGGAUUCCUUAGGACCAUGGGAGCUAUUGAUUUUCACGGCUCCUAUUCAGAGGCUCAUUCGGCUGGUGAUUUUGGUACUGUUUAUUUACAUUUGCUAAAUUUUCUCGUGGUAUAGUUCACUUAUAAUGACAUCACUACUGUGCUUUAAAUAUGUGUGUCUUUGAUAUUUUGCUGGUUGCAUGUAUUUUCUAUUUAAUGUUGCAGUUCAUUUAGAGUAGAGAUGUACCUCAUUUAACAUAGAGAUGUAUUUCUAAAAACUUGUGUCUAU